rnacentral:rRNA from 1 species
GAUGAACGCUGGCGGCGUGCCUAAUACAUGCCAGUCGAGCGAACGGACGAGAAGCUUGCUUCUCUGAUGUUAGCGGCGGACGGGUGAGUAACACGUGGAUAACCUACCUAUAAGACUGGGAUAACUUCGGGAAACCGUAGCUAAUCCCGGAUAAUCUUUUGAACCGCAUGGUUCAAAAGUGAAAGACGGUCUUGCUGUCACUUAUAGAUGGAUCCGCGCUGCAUUAUCUAGUUGGUAACGUAACGGCUUACCAAGGCAACGAUGCCUAGCCGACCUGAGAGGGUGAACGGCCACACUGGAACUGAGACACGGUCCAGACUCCUAGGGGAGGCAGCAGUAGGGAAGCUUCCGCAAUGGGCGAAAGCCUGACGGAGCAACGCCGCGUGAGUGAUGAAGGUCUUCGGAUCGUAAAACUCUGUUAUUAGGGAAGAACAUAUGUGUAAGUACUGUGCACAUCUUGACGGUACCUAAUCAGAAAGCCACGGCUAACUACGUG